rnacentral:rRNA from 1 species
AGCAGCCGCGGUAAUUCCAGCUCCAAUAGCGUAUAUUAAAGUUGUUGCAGUUAAAAAGCUCGUAGUUGAAUUUCGGGAUUUGUCGGUUGGUCGGGCUUCACUGUCCGCACUGACCUGAUGGAUUCCUACCUUCUGAAUAACCAGCAUGCUAUUAAGUUAGUGCGUUGGGGAAGCAGAGCUAUUACCUUGAAAAAUUAGAGUGCUUAAAGCAGGCUUGUGCUUGAAUAGAUUAGCAUGGAAUAAUAAAAUAGGACGGCAUGGUUCUAUUUUGUUGGUUUCUAGGAUCACCGUAAUGAUUAAUAGGGAUAGUUGGGGGCAUUAGUAUUCAAUUGUCAGAGGUGAAAUUCUUGGAUUUAUUGAAGACUAACUUCUGCGAAAGCAUUUGCCAAGGAUGUUUUCAUUAAUCAAGAACGAAAGUUAGGGGAUCGAAGACGAUCAGAUACCGUCGUA